rnacentral:tRNA from 1 species
GGUCCCGUAGCUUAACUGAAUAGAGCAUCUGACUACGGAUCAGAAGGUUGCAGGUUUGAAUCCUGCCGGGAUCA